GAUGGGGAGCGAAAUUUAGUAGCGAAGUAGCUGAUUUCACACUGUCAAGAAAAGUCUCUAUCGAGGUUAAAGGUACCCGUACCGCAAACCGACACAGGUGGGUGAGGAGAGUAUCCUAAGGCCAGCGAGAGAACUGUUGUUAAGGAACUCGGCAAAAUGACCCCGUAACUUAGGGAUAAGGGGUGCCACCAUCAGGUGGCCGCAGAGAAUAGGCCCAAGCGACUGUUUACCAAAAACAUAGGUUUCUGCUAAGUCGCAAGACGAUGUAUAGGAGCUGACGCCUGCCCGGUGCUGGAAGGUUAAGGGGAUCUGUUAGAGCAAUCGAAGCAGUGAACUUAAGCCCCAGUAAACGGCGGCCGUAACUAUAACGGUCCUAAGGUAGCGAAAUUCCUUGUCGGGUAAGUUCCGACCCGCACGAAAGGCGUAACGAUUUGGGCACUGUCUCAACAACAGACUCGGUGAAAUUGUAAUUCCGGUGAAGAUGCCGGAUACCUGCGACAGGACGGAAAGACCCCAUGGAGCUUUACUGUAGCUUGACAUUGGGUCUUGGUACUACAUGUACAGGAUAGGUGGGAGGCUUUGAAACCAGGACGCCAGUUUUGGCGGAGCCAUCCUUGGGAUACCACCCUUGUAGUACUGGGACUCUAACCAUAGGCCAUGAAUCUGGUCUUGGGACACUGUCAGGUGGGCAGUUUGACUGGGGCGGUCGCCUCCCAAAAGGUAACGGAGGCGCUCAAAGGUUCUCUCAGUACGGUCGGAAAUCGUACGUAGAGUGUAAAGGCAAAAGAGAGCUUGAUUGCAAGACAUACAGGUCGAGCAAGGAUGAAAAUCGGACUUAGUGAUCCGGUGGUUCUGCGUGGAAGGGCCAUCGCUCAACGGAUAAAAGCUACCCUGGGGAUAACAGGCUUAUCUCCCCCAAGAGUCCACAUCGACGGGGAGGUUUGGCACCUCGAUGUCGGCUCAUCACAUCCUGGGGCUGUAGUAGGUCCCAAGGGUUGGGCUGUUCGCCCAUUAAAGUGGUACGCG
rnacentral:rRNA from 1 species